rnacentral:rRNA from 1 species
UACAGAGGUCUCAAGCGUUGUUCGGAUUCAUUGGGCGUAAAGGGUGCGUAGGCGGCGCGGUAAGUCGGGUGUGAAAUCUUGGAGCUUAACUCCGAAACUGCAUUCGAUACUGCCGUGCUUGAGGACUGGAGAGGAGACUGGAAUUUACGGUGUAGCGGUGAAAUGCGUAGAUAUCAGGAGGAACACCGGUGGCGAAGGCGGGUCUCUGGGCAGUAACUGACGCUGAGGAGCGAAAGCGUGGGGAGCGAACAGG